AUACGUAGGUGGCAAGCGUUGUCCGGAAUUAUUGGGCGUAAAGCGCGCGCAGGUGGUUCCUUAAGUCUGAUGUGAAAGCCCCCGGUUCAACCGGGGAGGGUCAUUGGAAACUGGGGAACUUGAGUGCAGAAGAGGAUAGUGGAAUUCCAAGUGUAGCGGUGAAAUGCGUAGAGAUUUGGAGGAACACCAGUGGCGAAGGCGACUGUCCGGUCUGUAACUGACACUGAGGCGCGAAAGCGUGGGGAGCAAACAGGAUUAGAUACCCUGGUAGUCCACGCCGUAAACGAUGAGUGCUAAGUGUUGGGGGGUUUCCGCCCCUCAGUGCUGCAGCUAACGCAUUAAGCACUCCGCCUGGGGAGUACGGUCGCAAGACUGAAACUCAAAUGAAUUGACGGGG
rnacentral:rRNA from 1 species